ensembl:lncRNA
AUAUUCAGCCAGAGCGUGGCACCUGCUCCUGCUGUGCAGCAUCCCGCCUCCUCCUCAGUGAAUUGAGGUGGAGCCAACCCAGGUCUUCUGGACUCCCGGCCUUCCAUCUGCCCCUGCUUGCUGACCUAUACAUGGAUCUGUUUAGCUGCUCAUUAGAAAGGAAAUAGAAGCCAUAGCAAAGAGAGCACACUUUUCUGGGAGGAGGACAGUGUUUCCUGUUUUGCUUAUCUCAUGGGACUGAUGUGGGGAACAGGUGAGCUCAUCCGGGAGUAUACUAGACAAAUGGGAAAAAAUGGACAUACCCGGCAUUUGGAACCUUCACACAUCUACCACUUUCAUCCUUGGUGUCAGGUUCGGCCUGACUGGCUCAG